UACCACCUUUUUAAAUAAAUCGCAGUUUCUCGUUUUCCGGCGGCGACAACGCCCCUGGAAAAAAUAUCGAGCAUGCGCAGAACGCAAAAAACAAUUCCAAUCCGAUUGACCGUAAACAUGAAAGCUUAUCGAUUUGAGUUAGACUUAGGGGGUGUUCACACAGGCAGUUUUUUUUUCAGGUGCGGGUGGAUGUUUUACAUUAUAUUCCUAUGAUACAGGGUGUUUUUGUAAAAACAUCCUGGGUGCUUUUAAAAACACCGCUGCCAGCGGGUUUUUUUCACUGCUCUGGGUGGUUUUCAAGUUGGGAUAAAUUCAACUCGCCAAGAAAAAGCACCCGACGUCAGGUAGUUUUUUGACAGCUGACCAAUGAACAAGAACCUACGUCACUAGGAAAAACGUUGGAAAUUCAAGAAUGGCGACCCAAACCAAGACGUCUUUCCCGACGGAGCAACUUGUUGUUCUUGUCAGUGAACAUGUUGAGUUGUAUGACAUGACCAACAAAUUAUACCACAACAUUUAUCACAAGGAGAGUAUCUGGAGGACGAUCGGUGGGAUUUUGGGACAUAAGUGGGAGGAUUGCCGUGACAAAUGGAAAUACCUUAGAGGCAAGUACGGCAAAGAAAGAAAGGAAAUGAAGGAGAGGAGGAGUGGAUCGGAGGGAGGACAUAAACACAGUUGGAAAUAUGUAAAAAUUCUAUCUUUCCUGGAGCCUUAUGUCCAGGAAAGGCUCACAAUUAGUAACUUCGACCAGCCAAGCCAGACAGCAGAGAGCAUUUUGAAUGCAAUGUGUGAAAACAAUGAGACUACAUUGGAUGACACAAUCAGUAGUCAACCUGGGCCUGGUUCUUUAAAUGGCAGUUCAUCAAGGCCCCCACCCCAUUCAUCUAGGCCCCCACCCUCUCCAUCUCCACCCCCACAACCACCUCAACAAGAACAGCAGCAGGAAUUCGGGCCCAUGAGAGUACAAAGAGGGAGGAAGAGGCAGGCCACUGCGACCAUAACCCCCUACCAGCAACAGGUCCUCAGUGCCCUUGCGAAAGAGGAGAAUGAGCAUGAGCGUUUCCUAUUGAGCUUUGCACCCACACUGGCAAGGUUGGAGCCUCGCAAACAGGCAUUGCUAAAGUGUAGAAUGCAGUCCCUGUUUUAUGACAUCGAGUUUGGAGAAUAA
ensembl:lncRNA